rnacentral:tRNA from 1 species
GGACUGAUAGCUCAGGGGAUAGAGCAACCGCCUUCUAAGCGGUAGGUCGCAGGUUCAAAUCCUGCUCAGUCCA